AGCAGCCGCCACGGUAAUACGUAGGGUGCAAGCGUUAAUCGGAAUUACUGGGCGUAAAGCGUGCGCAGGCGGUUUUGUAAGACAGAGGUGAAAUCCCCGGGCUCAACCUGGGAACUGCCUUUGUGACUGCAAGGCUAGAGUAAGGCAGAGGGGGAUGGAAUUCCGCGUGUAGCAGUGAAAUGCGUAGAUAUGCGGAGGAACACCGAUGGCGAAGGCAAUCCCCUGGGCCUGUACUGACGCUCAUGCACGAAAGCGUGGGGAGCAAACAGGAUUAGAUACCCCGGUAGUCCCUGUCUCUUAUAC
rnacentral:rRNA from 1 species